GAAGUCAGGCCGCUCGCCGUUGAAAUGGAUUUGUCUGUCAACUAAUGAACUGAUGAUUAUUAGUGUAGAAAUGUGUCUUAAUAACUGCACAGCAAAUUUUAAACUGCAAAAUGAACCCUUUAAUCAUCAUUAUACUAUCAAGGAGGCUGACACACACCCCGCCGCCCCCGCUGUAUAAUCUUCUUGUCCCGUCACAAAAAGGGACCCUGUCUGAGUGCAUGUUACAGACUCUGAUGUCAUACGGUGGUUAUACACACUGAAAACACUGGGUGUGUUACUACCUAUGUGGUGCUUGUUGGGCUGCAGUGCUCAGUGUGACCGACAGCUGCUGGUAGAUCUGGUGAACGGCCGUCUGGAUUUCAGUCUGGGGGCUCCUCUUCGCUGCUUUCACACCGUCCUGCAGAAAACAACAUGUACUGAUAUAAUAAGACAGCCCUCAGGACCUGCAGCCUGACGGACGUGAGCAGGGAAGACGACUGGAUCGAUCGGCGUUCCCUGGCUGGCUGCCCUUCUCCUGCAUGGUGGAGAUCGGGCGCCUCCGACCGCAGCUGAAGACGACAUGGGCCAGAAGUCAAGUGUCUGCUCCAACAGUGUGUUUCUUUUGCUGCUGAUCUCACAGAAUCAG